UGGACAACGAAUAGUGAGAUAGAUGAGGCAUCUAAUAUGCCUAUGAUAUAAAAGAAGAUUGGGUAAAAGGUCUCCAUCAGUUGAAGUAAGUGAGAGGUUGGGUUCCGUAGGUGUCUUGGUAGGCCGAGAACCAAGGAAGCUAGUAUCCUCUAAAAUAUCAAGUGCAUAUAUUUGUUGGGAAAAAUAAAUACCAUGCUGGGAGCAUGAAACUUCAAGUCUUAGAAAUAUUUAAGUGGACCAAGAUCUUUUAAGGCAAAGCAAUCAGAGAUAAUUCUUCAAAGUUGAAAUGACAGAAAGAUAAUUGGUACAAACCAAUUGUUGGCAAUGUCAAAUUACUUUAUUUCCUAUCCCUGGAUUGAAUAGAUAGUUAUUUGUUUUGAUCUCUAUCUUUCUACCUUUAAUAGGUAUUGGUAUUUACCCAGACUUUAUUCUCUCAUUAUUAAUUGACAAGGUUGAAGCUAUUCUAUCUAAUUUUUAUUUUAUUUCAUUUUAUUAUUAUUUUUAUAUAUACAGAUAGAUUUCAUGAAUAAAAAAUAAAAAUAAAAAUUAAGCUUUUGGUUUUUAUAAUUGGUGCAUGCCUCUAACCUUAGGUUUCCCUAGACUUGAUCAAAGCAUAAAAAAAAUGGCUACAAAAGCCAAUAAAAUUAAUUAAUCUAGAGAAAAAAUAACUCAUAUUUGUGAUUUGGAUGUUUCCAGAUCAAUUCUAAUUUGCUAAAGUCGUUGAAGAAGUUAUAGAUCUCGUUUACUUGGUGUUCUUCCACCUAAUCUCUCCUUACACAAAUCCAAACACGUAAGAGAAGUAUAAACUACUCUUCCUCCCUAAGAGUGGUUAGAAUUUCUCUUUGGAAGAUAAAAGACAAAAGAUUGAAACCCUAAUCCCUAAGGGAGUAUUUAUAAAUCAUCCUAUGGGUUUAAGUGACUUGUGCCUAGGUAUUCACAAAAUAACAAUCAAGUGUCCUAAAGCUCUAAGGACUUUUGACUACGUUGUAAUGUUAUUUGGAUUAAAAAAUGCUAAAGCUACAUAUCAACAUUCUAUGAAUGUACUUUUCCAUGAUUUAAUUGGUAAAAUAAUGAAGGUCUAUAUUGAUGAUAUAGUAGUGCAGGGUUCCAUAGGUAGUUUUCAGCCCAAGAUAAUAUAGGCAAAAAAACAGCAACCAGUCUAUUAUUUUAGUCGAUUGAUAACUAAAGUAGGAAAGAAUUAUUCUCCAAUAUGAGUAUUAUAUCUAGCACUACUUUUUUUCCAUAAAGCUCAAACAUUGUAUGUUGCCUACCAUAGUCUAGAUGAUAGCAAAAAUAGAUGUAGUAAAAUACGAUGUUGUCACACCCUAUCCCUCAAAGGUUGAAUGGGAAAAUAAAUAUUAGCCAUCCAUCUUAAAAGAUUGCAUUGAUAUGCAUGAGAUGUCGAGCAUGCCAACGAUUGAGAUCUUUACAUCAUCUCUAGGCCUAAAAGAAUUGGGAGAAGCUCAAGCAAUGCAUAUGGAGUUAGAAGAAUUGGGAGAGUCUCGAUUCAAAUCUUUGGAUCAUCUCUAAGCCUAAAAGAGAUAAGUUGCUUGGACCUGUGACAAGAGGGCAAAGAGAAAAGUUUUUAAUGGUAACCCAUUCAUCUUCAUUUUAAAUUUUGUACCGUUUAUCUUUUCAUUUUUAAGUUUUAAUUUUUUUUAAUAUUUUUCUAAAUUUAAGUUGACUAAUUAAAAGGUGUUUGAUAUUGGCUAAAACCAUUUAGAUAAAACUAUCUCACCAACAUUUUUAUUUUUUCAAAGACACAGAUUACGGGCAUUUUCUUAAUGACUUGCACUAGAUUUAAAAUUCUCUCUCACAAUCUGCUAUCGUAGGACUACGUUUACAUUAAAUCCUCCUCCUUCGCCUCCUUGUUGAUUGAGGAUGCUGCCUGUUUAUUGGAAUGGUCUGGGCGAAGAUUCCAUUCCCCCAGAAUAGAAUGUAGCCAAUACUCAACCCUGCCACCACCCCACACCCGUAUCCCAUCCAUGCCACCCUCCAAUCAAAUUCAAUUCUCGGAUCAGAGUCCAAGAGUCGUUCAUGAGUUGAUGCCUCUGCUUCCUCAUCGACUCUGCAUUUCCUGGAUAAUGGAAAUCCGCAUAACAUUGGGUUCCCCUCGUAUGAUUUUAGAGGAAAUGUGUUGAAUUGACCUCCGCUAGGUAUGGCUCCUUCGAGGUUGUUUCCUGCCAAGUCCAAGAAGGAAUGGAAUGUUGGACUUGUUAACUGCACAGGAAUCUCCCCUGAUAGCUUGUUGUUUGAGAGAGCCAAUGACUCAAGCUGGUGAGCAUUCUCCAGUGAUGAUGGUAUAGGGCCAUCAAGGUUGUUACUAGACAAGUCCAGGUUAUGCAAUGAAUUAAACUCUCCGAUGGACUCUGGGAUUUUCCCUUCCAAUUGAUGAUUGGAGAGAUCAAUACUUGUGAAAAAAUCUAGAAUCCUUUCUAGUUGAAACUCUCCUCCUUUCAUUGUUAUCUUCAUUGAGCUCUGAAACUCAUAAUAACCCCUUUUGACUCCAAGGUAAUUUGGUCCGGAAUUUUCAUCUUCCUCUUUCAUCAUUGCUUUCCAAGUGUGGAAGUACUCAGAGGGCAACUGGCUUGCGAAGGCAUUGGAAGAUAGGUCAAUCACAUGAAGCAUUGGAAAGGCAUUCCUCAUCCGGGGAUGUUUAAUCUGGCCAUAGAACCUAUUGGAGUGCAGGAUGAGAACUUGCAGUUGUUGUAAAUUCUCCAACCUGAACGGAAAAAUAUCAUUUAUCUGGUUGUUAACCAGGUGUUCUAAUUGAUUUCAGUUGAACACAAGUAUAGUUAAUGAUUCUGCAUAAACCCGCGGCAUGGCUCCCUUCAAACCAUUCCCACCUAGAUUUAGUACUGACAGAGAACUGCUGAAGUUACCUAGACAACUUGGUAUUGUGCCAUCCAAAUUGUUAUUUGAUAGAUCAAGGACUUCAGAUAGAUCAAGAUAACGAGGAGUGGUCAAGUUUGAGAACAUGUCCAAGUCCAUGCUACCUUUGAAGUCAUUGGAAGAAAGAUAAAUGACUUCUAGACUCGUGAGUUGAGCAAUCCAUCUUGGAAUAGGGCCCUGCAACACGUUAUCACUAAGAUCUAGCUCCUUCAAAAAUGGGGAAGGCUUGUAAGGAAGCUGGGUAGGCAGAGCUUGGAGUCGGUUCUCGUGAAGAUCUAAUACCUUCAAUGAUGGGAAUAUAAACAAAGAAUAAUUUAUUACACCAUCAAGUGAGGCAGACAAGAUCGCUGUCUGGAGACAAACUAGUGAUCAUCUUGUUUGGUAGAAUCAGAGAUGGAAUUGAUUCACUGAAAUGGUUUGAUGAAAGGUCCAUAGUUUCAAGUUUUGUGAGAUUGACAAUGGAAUGUGGGAUUUUUCCUGAGAAAUUGUUAGAUGAGAGGUCCAAACUCUGCAGCUGCCUGAGGUUGCCAAUUGAACUUGGGAUUGAACCAUGAAAAUGGUUUGACGAGAGGUCCAAACUUUUCAGCUGUACAAGCUUACCUAUCCCUUUGAAAUGGUUCGAUGAAAGGUCCAAAUUCUGUAGCUUUCUAAGGCUGCCAAUUGAGUUUGGGGGAUAGGACCACUGAUAUUAAGACCAUUAAGAUCUAAGUCAAUUUAUUAUUAAAUUACAUCUAAUAUAAUAUUAUGAUAUUUGAUUGUAAUAUGUCUAAUUUUAAAAUAUAUAUUAAUAUUAAAAUUAUGAUUCAUUUAAUUCAAUUGUAUUAAACAAUAUAAAAUAAAUUAUGAUAUAUAUAUAUAAUUUUUUAAUAUUUAAUUAAUUAUUAAUGAUAUUAAAAACAUUAUAAAGAAAAUUACAUAAUUUUUAUAUUUUUGAUAAUCAAUUAAAAGAAAAUUUUUCAUUUAAUUAUAAAAUAAUUAUAAUUAAUUUGCUUUUUAAAAUAUUCUUUUAAUAUUUUCUUUAUAUAAUGAGUUUAACUAUAUAUAUGUUUAAUGCAUAUUAUAUAAUAAGGGUAAGUUUGACUAGAUGGUGAGUGGGUUGAACCUCAAACCUUUUGGUUUGGGGUUCAAAUCUCCUCAUAUAUCGCCACAUAUCGUGAUAUUUUCCUCUUGAUCCCUACCUUUAAUAGGGAUGAACUAGCUACCUUGGAAAGAUAUCCACCUUUUCUUAUCAUCCCUUUCUCUUAUCAUUUGUGAUUUAUUAAAGGAUUGGCUCAGAUUAAUGUAAAUAUAUUGAAUUAAACUAAAUCAUGAGAGAUUUUAUUGAAUACUAAAUGAUUAUAAAAGUUGUAUCCAAACUCAAAAGUUUUUUUCUUUCUUUUUUAAUUUGCUCUCUGUUCACCAAGAAAUUUAUGGUAUUUAUGAAAAACCUAACCCUAAAAACAAAAACAAAAGUGUUAAAAUUUCCAAUGAGAAGCAAAAAAGCCGAAUGGGGAAAGUCUCAAAGUGAAAUUCUGGAAAUUAUAGUUUGUAUAAAAAAUUUCAAUACCUUCGUAGUGGUGUCAAAAUGCAUUUUGAUAAAUGUCUAAACCUUAUAGGCCUCUAGCAUGCUUCUAAUGUGGUAUUGGGUUGAUUAUGACAUGUAUCAUAAUGUAUCUUUUUGUAUUAUGAUGUAUUGAAAUAUUGCAUCUUAUAUCAAAAUUGUAUCUUAAUAUAUCUUUUUGUAUCUUGAUGUAUUGAAAUGUUGCACCUUGUAUUGAAAUUGUAUCUCCAUGUAUUAUUCAUUUUGAUAAACCCUAAAAAUUUUGGUAUCUUCAGAAUGCUUUUGUAGGAAAAUUUGGAUACAUCCACUAUAUUGAAAUGUUUAUCAAAAUUAAUCUUUCAUAUUGAAAUGCAUUUUGAUAAACUCCUAAACUCACUAGAUCUUUGAGAGGUUGAGGUUGGUGAUUUUCAAUACCUUAUUGUGGCAUCGAAAUCAAUAUUGAAAUGCAUUUCUUGUAUCAAAAUGGUGUCCUCGCAUCAAAUUGUGUAUUGCUCGACAUCAAAAUGUAUUCUAAUAACACCCCAAACUUAUUGUGUUUGGAUUGACUCUACUCUCUUGUAUUGAAGUUGUUAGGACAAUGAGUCUUCAAUGUAUUUUGACAAUUUUGUUUCAUUCUAUUUUUGGCUUAAGAAUCUUUUUAGAUAGUGACUUACUCUCCAUCGAAGAUCCAAGGCUAUUGUUCAUCCAACCGAAAAGUCACAGGUAUAUCCAAGAAGGUUUGACUUGUGACAAGUUAGGUAAUCAAAGGGGAUAAAGUAAAUUGAUAUAUUUUAAAAAAUUAAAAUUAAAAAGGUUUGUUAAAGGACAAUUCGUUUGUUUGUUUGUUUUUUUUAUUUUUAAAUAAGAUAUGAUUGAAUUAGAAGUUUUAAAAUUGAGCUAAAAUCUCUUAAUUAUUUUUUUGACAACUUUGGGAUUUUAUUUUUAAGAAAGUUGAUAUUUUGUUUUUAACAAAAUUCUUUUCUUAAUUAAUUUUUAGAAAGUUGUUAUUCAUUUUUUUUUUUUUAAGAAAAUUAUUUUUUUAGUUAAUCUUUAGACAGUAGAUAUUUUAUUCCAUUUCCAACCAUUUUGGGUUUGGACAUUGAUGAGAGAGACUCAACCUAACUUGCUCUACCAUUCCCAAUCUCUCAAGAAAGAUUCAAGGAUUGAAUCUUGGGUUGUUGGAAGAUUUACAUUCCUUCAACGAGGCUGAGGAGUAUUCAUUAGAGUAAUUGGAGAUUGUUACAUUACAAACAUGGAUCAAGUAGUAGGUACGGAAAAAUAAUUCUUAAGGGUAAAACAAUAAAGUAAAUCUAUGUAACUUGAUCUCAUAUAAUGGAUUUAGAUUAAAGGUUUUAAAUCUUAUGAUUUUAUUAUUAUUAUUAUUAUUUUUAUUAUUUUAUAUCUCCAUAGUAAGUGUGAGUUUUCCACAAAAAUUAAUGUGUUCUUUGCAUGCUUGUUUACUUUUUUAAAUAUUUAGGAUAUUUUGUUAAUCCUUGAUAACUUGCUAGUUUAAUUAGGUUAAAAACUCUACUCCCUAUUUAAAUUUAGUUAUUAAUUCUUAAUCCUUAUAUUAUAAUUUUUAAUUACACUCAUGCAUCCCCUGUGUUACCCUAUUGGACCACGACUUUUUAGAAGUGAUGUUGAAAUCCACUCUUCCGUAAUAAAAUUCCUCUUUUUCCUUGCAUUCCUCACUAGAUGUAAAGAUUGAUCGUCAAUUUGAGGCUUAGCACAUAUUUAAGUUACAAGAUAAUGAUAUGCACUCAAAAGUUAUUUAAAAGCCUAUUUUUAUAUAUGGAAAAACAUCAGUUUUGAGUGCUAAUCAACUACUGCAUAUGGGAUUGUAACUGCAUUUUAGUUGUCGUCAUUGUCAAGCAAGGUUUUAAGUUGAAGUUUUUGAAGGGUGCAUCACGUGGGCUUGCUGGUUCAGAUAUCACCCGCAUUUUCAAGACUAGAAUUUAACCUCACAGUGUACUCUGCUACAAGCUUGGCGAAAGAUGACGACUUGUUCUCUAGCAAUCUCGUUGGGGUAUCGUAUUCCUCAAUUAGCCCUACAUCAUCGACAUUUCCAGGGAAAUAAAUCAAGAAGAAUGCAGAUGAAGUUAAGAGUGCCAUUAGUUCAUGUUGAUAGUACUAACCAUGAUCCAGAAGUAGAACCCUGUCACUAUCAAGAACAGAAGUAGUUCGAUGUGCAAUAGUUAUGACUGUAGAAUCGACAAAGUGUUGUCUAAGGGUUUGCUGAAUCAGAUUUUCUGUGGCUGUAUCAACUGAUGCAGUAGCUUCAUCAGGCACCAAGACCUUGCUUUUCUUGAGUAGAACUCGGCCAAGACAAACCAGUUGCCUCUGACCCAUGCUCCAAUUCUCUCCAUUCUCAAUAACUGCCAAAUGCAUACUAACAUUAGGAGACUUAUAUGAGGUUUCUAUUUAGAUUUUAUGUUAGCAUGGCGGGAGAAAUAACCUGUAGAAUCUAGCUUUCCUUCUUUCUUCCUGACUUCAUCUCCAAGCUGGCACUUAUCCAGAGCCUGAACCAAUAAGUUAGUUAACAACAUUGCACUUCUACAGUAUUAAGAAAUGUGGCGAAGGAAACUAUAUUUCUACUAUAUUAAGAAAAGAUAGUAGAGGAAAACUACAUGUCUACCAUACUUAAGUAUAUCAAUAGAAUAGACAAAACCUACCUCCCAAAUCUGCUCAUCUGACUACUCUUCAAGUGGGUCAAGGUUGCUCCGUACAGUCCCUUCAAACAUGGUUGGAUCCUGAGGGAUAAUGCUUAGUCUGGACCGCAAAUCAUGUAGUCCAAUGGAAGAGAUGUUGGUACCAUCUAUCAUAAUCUGACCAGCAGCAGGUUCAACAAUUCGAAAGAGGAUCUGUAUGAGGGUUGAUUUACCGCUGCCAGUUCACCCUACAAUGCCAGUCUUCAUUCCUCCUAAACUGCAGAAAUACAUUACUUAAACACAGCAUCUAAACUGCAAAACCGGCAGUCCAUCUUGCAGCCAAUUUCAUUACCCUUAUCUUAAAAAUGAAUCGGCACUAAAAAACCACCAUAUCAACAGUAAAGAAACUUUCAUUUUGAGGCCAUAGUAAUUGACAUGGUACAUACAAAUUGGCACCUCCUCAAUAUGCAAUGCUUGUGAUUGAGCCCCGGCUCAGCAGGAUCAGAAAGGAACAUGAGCAUGCCAUGAAUUGUAAGAGUUAUCCUGAAUUAGGAUUCCAUUUUAAUGCAGUUGGUUUAAAAUGAAUCAAAUUACUCGAUAAGCAAUGCACUACUCCAAAUUUUUUGCUAAGCAACAUUUUGGAGUAAAGUUCUGUUUAUACCAAAAAUGGUUUUGAACCUACUGGCAUUUUCAGGAACAGAUAUGAUUGAUAAUCUAAUCUGCAAGAGUACAUGGCAUCAGUAAGCGAAGAAAAUAAUUAAUGUAAUAUGAGAAACAUAAGGUGAUCUUAACUACAGAGCAUGAGAUGUCAUGUGACAAAGCCAUGUGUUGGCUGGCAUUAAAUAACAAGAAGAGGUCCUAACAAGUUCACAAUGGUUACCUGAUACCAGAUGCAGGUUGCAAUCACAGGAAUAAAGACAAUGAAAACCUGCCAUGCAACCUGUGACAUAACUGCAAUAAUUCCCCGGAGCCGAAUCAAUGAGAAGGCAAAUGCCCCAACUUGCAUGGGAAUGUUUGUGUCGAUCGCAUUUUGGUCUGUAGAAGCCUGAAAAAAGGGAAGGAUCAAUUAAGUAAUAAUCUAACACUUCACUUUGGUCAUUAGGGAAAAAUGCAAGGCAGAAAUAAAUAUAUAUUCAUAUUUGCACUUACUCUGUUUAGAAUCCGUCCACUUGGGGUGGCAUCAAAGAAUGACAUUGGGGCACGGAAAAGGCUCAAAUGCAUUUUAUUGAAGAGUAUAGUAGCUGUUACAAGAAGCAUGGCUCUAGAAAGGACGCUAAAAGAACUUCCAACAGCCAAAGCUACAUAAACAAUCAUGAGAGUAGAACCUCUAACUGCAGGUUUCACAUCAUCUGACACGGGACUUGACCAAGCCAUCCAAUAAUUGCUUCCAAUCUGAAGCAGCUGAAAGAGAAUCUGUGACAACAAUAUAAAGGGCACAAGAGCUCCUCCAUAUGCUGUCCUGAUGUAUUUCCAAUAAACCCAUAGCCCAACUUUACCUUUCUCUCUCUCCUCUUCUUGAACAAGCUGACCUUUUGGUCCAUCUAUCUCCUCUGCUUUACCAUUUUGGCCACCUUUGUUUUCUUCUUUUUCUAUAACUUCAGAAGUACCACCAAUAUUAUCACUGUCCUCAUGGAUACUUGAUUUUUCUGAAAGUGACCCUGCCUCUACAGAAUUGAGUGCUGACAAAGCUUUCUUAUGUGCACCAACAAGUUCCAUAAAAUCAGUUCCAGAGUUGAGAAUUUCAUUGUACUUUCCAGCUUGUGUAAUUCUUCCAUCUUUCAUGACCUGCGGGUAUGCUACAUUUCUUCAGUUUAUCUAAUGGAAACAAAGGCAGGGAAGAAAAAAAAUGGUAAUUACUCACCAGUAUGAGAUCAGCAGCAGGUAAGAACUCUACUUGAUGUGUAACAUAGAUCACAGUUUUCGAACCCAAUAGACCCAGCAAACAUUCCUGUUAUAUGAAGAUUACUUACAAAUAAGAUCAAUGAAAGAUUUUAUUUUUAUUUUUAUUUCAUUUAUUAUAUAUAAUAAAAGGGAAAGGAAAAAAAACAAAGGGCAAUGGGUUAGCAAGGGUCCCUAAUUACCUCAGCCAGACCAAGAACCAAAUCUCAUAUAGCCCAUAGCAGUGCAUAUUUAAACAUACAAGGAUAGCUCAAUUUCUACUUGAUGCAAUGGCAUUGUAUAGAUAACAUGUUUUAUUUCAUAUAUAUGUAUAUUGAUCAAACUCAGGCUUUUAUAAGAGAAAGAAAUUACCUUAAAGAGAUGGGUUCCUGUAUGAGCAUCCACAGCACUGAAAGGAUCAUCAAACAGAUAAAUAUCAGCGUUUUGGUAAAGUGCACGUGCAAUCUGUAUUCUUUGCUUCUGGCCACCACUCAAAUUGAUUCCCCGCUUACCUAUAACCGUCUGAUCACCAAAUGAGAGAACCUCCAGGUCCUUCUUCAAGGAACAUGCAUCAAGGACCCUUUCAUACCUUUCUCUGUCCAUCUCCUUACCAAACAAGAUGUUCUCUUCUAUCUUGCCACUCUGUAUCCAAGGAGACUGAGCAACAUAGGCCUUUGUUCCACACAGCUUAAGGAUACCAGAUAUCUUAGGCACCUCUCCCAAUAUACAGGAGAGUAAGCUUGACUUGCCUGAGCCUACAGUACCACAAACAGCAACCCUCAUGCCACGGCACACCCGCAAAUUAAUAUCCUUCAGUGUUGGAUUAGGGGAAGAUAAAUCCCAAGAGAAAUUCCCAUCCACUAUCUCAAUUGCUGUAUCAGAACUACCUUUUGGAAGCCUCUCGAUAACAUCACUCUGCAGGUCAACUAGACGAAGAAAGGAUGUAAUUCUGUCAAGGGAUACUUUAGUCUGAGCUAUCAUUGAGAUUAGGUCAGGAAGACUGUAGAUGGGUUGUUGAAGUAUCCUGAAUGUUGCAAGUGAAGAUAAGAUCUUCCCUGAUUCAAGCGGGAUUCCUAUAAGCAUGCAAGUUCCAAAGGUGACCACGGACACAAAUGUUGGGGCAACCCAGAAAAAAAAAGUGGUCAUGGCUGAAGUGUAAAGAUAUUUUUUCAACCACCCCGUCUCAUUCUUCCGAAGGUCUACAAUUUUAGACAAAAACUUCAUCUCCCAUCCCUGAAGCUUGAGAAUCCUCAUGUUUCUUAAAAUCUCAGAUGUUGCCUUCAUCCUUUUAUCUUUUGAUUCCAUUAACUUGCCCUGAAACUUCUCUUCCCAUUUCCCCAGUGGAACAUUUGCCAACAUAACAAUUAUAGUUGCAAAGAAAGCUGCAACUGAAGCAAGGCCGACGUUUUUAUACAAGAUUAGCAAGGCUAGAGUAACUUGCACAAUCACCAUCCAUGGUCCAUGCAUAUACCAAAUGAAAUCCCCAAUUCUCUCCGCAUCAACAGACAUAAAAUUAAUGAUCUCCCCAGUAGUAUGGCCCUGCUUUGACUGGCAGGAAAGAGUCAAACCCUUGUUGUAGAUCAUUGUGAUCAUUACUGCUCUGAUCCUAAAACCAACCUGCUGCAAUCUAAAGGAACACUGCCUCAGUGAAAGGCACUCAACAAGCUUCGCAAGAAAAAAGACCAUAACCAAAACAUAGCCUUCAUUUUUGAAUUCCCUCCGCCCAUUGAGAUAUUGAACGAAGGUGUCAAUAAGAUAGGGCCCAACAUAAGAAGCUAAUAUGUCCAGAAGUAGGAAUAAAGCCGUCAAUAGGAUUUCUGCCCAAAAUGCAAAGAUCAAUGCUUUCACAAGCUUAAGCGUGGUCACUCCAUUACUUCCACCACAAUCACACUGGAGCUUAUUUCUAAAUGCUGGAAAGACCGCUACAACGCUGUUGCUGGUAUCAAGCUGAGGAACAUCCCCAAGGUCUAAUGUUUUCUUGUUACCCUCAGCAAUCAAGGGACCGAUCCAAGAGAAAGUAAGAAGGCUAAAAAAACCAGCUUUUGAAAAGGGGGUCACAGUUUCUUCCCCCUUGGAUUCAUCAGACUCUACUAUACUUAUACUGGUGCCACCAUUCAAAAGUGGUUCCCUAAGAAUUGAUUCCUUACCUUGAUUCUUUCCCAAAAACCCGGAAUAGCACAAGAACAGACCAGUUAUGACGUAGACAAUGUCGGGCACCAAAAAUUGAACUUGUAGGGACUGGUCUUUCUUAACAAUGUCUAUAACAAGGCAAUAACAAGAGAUGGAGAAGUAAAAUCCCCACCAAACUCUUAACAAAAACGGGAACUUUGGUUCAACAGAACCAUGGAAUUGAGUGUGCAAAUAUACACAAACUGCUCCCCAGGAAAGUGUUCUGAGCACUAAAUCCAAAAGUGUGACCAGCUUUUCACCAGACCAGCCAUUUCUAUACCAAUAAAAGUAGUUCAAAAAACACAAGAAGAAAUUCAACAGUGACAGACCCUGACAGCAUGCAAACGUUUGCUUAUAGUACAAAAACCUAGUCCUCUUACAAUUUUCAAGAGCACCCCCGUUGAUUCUCUUGCACACCCAUGAUACAAACAGGAGAAGCAACAAAACUAGAUGCAAUGAGGCAGAAAAGGCACGUAAAAAGACUGGGUUUAGCAGAAAACCAAUACCUGGGUACGUAACCAUGGCUUCGAGCCCCACCAUUUUUUGAGAACCUUUGGAUUCCACUAAAAUGGUAUUUUGGAGGUGUGCUCAUGAAUUGGCACUUGACAGUGAAGAUUUUUGGUACUUCAUAUAUGAGAAAUAAGAUGGGAUGUCACUGGUUUUUUAAGAGUGUAUUCCACAUGAGAAAGUCAGUCAAUGGAUACUUCCAAGGGCGCCGGAUAACUUGGCAGCCAUCGAAUGUUGACGGACAUGGCAAAGAAGCUAGGCAGGCACGAAGAGAGAGACAACUUUAAAGACAUAGAGACAAUUUUCUUGCUUCCCUUUUUUUUAUUGAUCAUCUUUUUAGUAGAAUUUUCAUUGCCAAAUAUUUUUAUUUCCAAAAUCCAAAAGAUUUAUGAUUUAUUUUUUUGAUUCACAUUUCAUUCCAACAAACUACUCUAUGGUAUCAUAAAUAUUUGGGAAAUUCCCCGUUAUUAUCUUAUUUUCCAUAAAAAGUUUUAGAAACAAAUUUCAAAUUACCAGGAUGACAAAAAAAAAAAAAAAAAAAAAAACCACACACACAUAAAAGAAAAAGAAAAAUAAUAUUUUUUAUUUAGCAAUUUAAUUUAAUUACCAUUAUUUAGUUAAUUUUAAAUUAGAAUUCAAUUAUGGAAUUUAGUUAAUUCCUUUUUUAUUUCAUAGUAGAACCAUUGAUAUUUUUACAAUCAUAAUUUCUAUUUUUUUUUAAUUCUCUAAGGUUUGUAAACUUUUUUUUUUUUUUCUGAACUAUUAUGCUUUAUGAAGGAUUAUCCCCUUCAUUCCCUCUGAAAAUAGGUAACAUUGACACUGGUUGUGGUUUGAUCAUGAUAUGUUCUCAAGUGGCAAUGAAGCAUGAGGGUUUUGUUGACCCUAGGAGGGUUAAGAUGAUCUCUCAUCAACCUAUAGGCUUGGAAAUGCCUAACUUGUUGAUUGUUAUUGUUGCUUUGAUUUGUUAGGUCAUUUAUACUUGCUUGAAUUGGCUAAAUUUGUCUUUGGCGUCUAGUAAAAAUAUCCAUAUUCUAAACAAGCAUAAAAAGUAAGAAGAUGAAAAGUAAAAACUAGAAAUAAAUAAAAUUCCUAUUAUUAAAGAAAACCAACUAUUUAAAACAAAAAAACUAAAAACUAAUUAGUACGUAAUUAAUUGACUUAGAUAAAACUUGUUACUAAUUCCUUAACAAUGACAUCAUUUUCUUAACCGAAAAUCCCUAAUACAAAUAAAAUACUAAAGCAUAAAUACAUGAUAAAAUUAGUCAAGAAAAAUGAGGGAUAGAGUUAUCACAACUUGUAGUAUUUCAAGUUAUCAUCCUUAGGGAAUCAAAAAAUUUUAACUAAUUUUAUCUAAAAGUAGUGAUUUUUAUUAAAAAAAUGAUUAGAUUGAAAUUAUGAUUUGAUGGAUAAAUUAAGAAAACAAUGAUAAACCAAUCUAAAGAUUUUCACAAAUCCAAUCUCAAACCUAGGAUUGAGGGAUAAUAAAUAAUGAUUAAAGGAUUUUUUGUCUUCGUAGAUUAGACCACAAUAUAGGCCAUCCAAGUUUGGAACCAUGUUUUCAAACUUAAAAUCCAUUCUCUAAUAGUCAUUCAACAAAUAAUUUGAAACAAUGUUUUAUCCUUUAGGACAUUUAAAACCCAAUAUUCAUUUGGUGUACUCUCCUCAGUCAUCAAUUACAUUAACAUAUGAUCACACUAGGUCAACUAUUGAUCAUAAUCCCUUAUGCAUCAAAGGACCCCUAGCAUGUAUCCUAUGUAUCUCUAAUAGGGACGAACUAGCAAAUAAUUAAACUUUUAUACAAAAAUUUAAAGAUUAGAAACUUACUACCAUUAAAAGAUAUCACAUUUUCAUAUCAUCCCUUUGUCUCGAAUUAUUCAUGAUUUAUUGUUACAUCUCCAAUGAGGAAUUUAGCCACUCAUGCUCAGAUUAAUGUCAUACAUUGAAUUAAAUCGAAUCAUGAGAGAUUUUAUUGAAAACUAAAUAAUUAUAAAAGUUGUAUCCAAACUCAAAAGUUUCUCUUCUUCUCUACUCUCUUUGUUCCUAAAGAAAUUUAUGGUAUUUAUAAAAAACUAACGCUACAAACAUAAAUAAAAGUGCUAAAACAUCCAAAGACAGUAAAAGAGCCAAAUAGGGAAAGCCUUGAAGUGAAAUUCUAGAAAUUGUAGUUUGUAGAAAAAAAUUUGAUACCUCCAUAGUGGUAUCAGAUUGCAUUUCGAUAAAUGCCCAAACCUUAUAGACCUUUGGCAUGCUUCCAAUGUGUUAUUGGAUUGAUUACAACAUGUAUCAUAAUGUAUCUUUUUGUAUUGACACCUUAUAUUAAAAUUGUAUCUCAAUGCAUCUUUUCGUAUUGAAAUGUUGCACUUUGUAUCAAAAUUGCAUCUCCUUGUAUCGAAAUUCAUUUUGAUGAACCUUGAAAUUUUUUACAUCUUUGGAAUGCUUUUCCAAGAAAAUUUGGAUGCCUCCACUAUAAUUGAAAUGUUUAUCAAAAUUCAUCUUUCGUAUCGAAAUACAUUUUGAUAAACUCCUGAACUGAACUCACUAGAUCUUUGGAAGGUUGAGGUUGGUGAUUUUUUAUGCCUUCUCAUUGCAUGAAAAUCAAUAUCAAAAUGCAUUUCUUGUAUUGAAAUGGUGUUCUCACAUCAAAUUGUGUAUCACAUAGUAUCAAAAUGCAUUCCAAUAACACCCCAAACUUACUAUGUUCCAAUUGACUCUACUCCUUUGUAUUGAAGUUGUUAGGACAAUGAGUCUUCAUCGUAUGUUGACAAUUUUGUCCCAUUCUUUGAAGAUCCAAGGUUAUUGUUUGUCCAAUUGAAAAGUCACAUGUACGCCCAAAAUGGUUUCACUUGUGGCAAGUUAGGUACACAAAGGGAAUAAAGCAGAUCAAUAUAUUUUUUUAAAGAAUUAAAAAGGUUUGUUAAAGGCAAGUUAGUAUUAUUAGUUUUUUUUUUUAAUAAAGUAAGGUUGGAUUGGAAAUUUUAAAAUUGAGUUAAAAUCUCUUAAUUAAUUUUUGACAACUUUGAAAUUUUAUUUUUAUUAGAAAUUUGAUAUUUUAUUUUUAAGAAAAUUAUUUUCUUAAUUAAUUUUUAGAAAGUUGAUAUUCUUUUUUUUUUUUUAAGAAAACUAUUUUCUUAAUUAAUCUUUAGAAAGUUGAGAUUUAAUUCCAUUUCCAAGUCUCUAAGCUUUUAUGCCUAUAUGUAUAAACCCUUGCUUAACACAUUUUGGGGUUGGACAUUAUUGAGAGAGAUUUGACCUAACUUGCCCUUUCCAAUCUCUCAAGAAAGUUUAAAAGAUUGAAUCUUAGAUUGUUGGAAGACCUAUAUUCCUUCAUUGAGGCUAAGGAGUAUUCAUUAAAGCAAUUGGAGAUUGCUAUGUCAUGUGGAUCAAGUUGUAGCUAUCGAAAAGUAAGUCUUUAGGGUAAAACAACGAUAAAUCUCUGUAAUUUGAUCUCAUAUAAUGGAUUUAGAUUAAGGGUUUUAAACCCCAUGUUUGUUUUAUCUCCAUAAUAGUGUUGGGGUUUUUCAUAUAAAAAUUCUUGUGUCCUAUGCAUGCAUAUUUACUUUCUUUCUUUUUUUCUAAUAUUUUGGAUAUUUUGUUAAUCCCUACUAUCUUAUAGAUUUAAUUAAGUUAAAAACUCUACUCCCUAUUUAAAUUGAGUAAUUAAUUCUUAAUCCUUAUAUUAUAAUUUUUAAUUACACCCAUUCAUCCCUUUGAUGUCACCUUAUCGGACUACAGUUUUUUAGAAGUGAUUUUGAAAUCAACUCUUAUGCAUCAAAAUUCCUCUUUUUCCUUGCAUUCUUCAUUAGAUGUACAUAUUAAUCCUCAAUUUGAGGCUUUGCAAAUAUUUAAGUUACAAGAUAAUGAUUUGCACUCAAAAGUUAUUUAAAAGCCUAUUUUUAUGUAUGGAAAAACAUCAGUUUUGAGUGCUUAUCAACUACUGCAUUUGGGAUUGUAACUGCAGUUUAGUUGUCGUCAUUGUCACGCAAGAUUUUAAGUUGAAGUUUUUGACCGGUGCAACAGGCGUGCUUGCUGGUUCAGAUAUCACCCGCAUUUUCAAGAUUAGAAUGUGACCUCACAGUGUACUCUGCUACAAGCUUUGCAAAAGAUGACGACUUGUUCUCUAGCAAUCUGGUGGGGGUAUCGUAUUCCUCAAUAAGCCCUGCAUCGACAUUUCCAGGGAAAUAAAUCAAGAAGAAUGCAGAUGAAGUUAAGAGUGCCAUUAGUUCAUGUUGAUAGUACUAACCAUGAUCCAGAAGUAGAACCUUGUCACUAUCAAGAACAGAAGUAAUUCGAUGUGCAAUGGUUAUGACUGUGGAAUCGACAAAGUGUUGUCUAAGGGUUUGCUGAAUCAGAUUAUCCGUGGCUGUAUCAACUGAUGCAGUAGCUUCAUCAAGCACUAAGACCUUGCUUUUCUUCAGUAGAACUCUGCCAAGACAAACCAGUUGCCUCUGACCCAUGCUCCAAUUCUCUCCAUUCUCAAUAACUGCCAAAUGCAUGCCAACAUUAGGAGUCUUAUAUGAGGUUACUAUUUAGAUUUUAUGUUAGCAUGGCGGGAGAAAUAACCUGCAGAAUCUAGCUUUCCUUCUUUCUUCCUGACUUCAUCUCCAAGCUGGCACUUAUCCAGAGCCUGAACCAAUAAGUUAGUUAACAACAUUGCAUUUCUACAGUAAUAAGAAAUGCAGCAAAGGAAACUAUAUUUCUACUGUAUUAAGAAAACAUAGUAGAGGAAAACUACAUGUCUACCAUACUUACGUAAAUCAAUAGAAUAAACAAAACCUACCUCCCAAAUCUGUUCAUCUGAGUGCUCUUCAAGUGGGUCAAGGUUGCUCCGUACAGUCCCUUCAAACAUGGUUGGAUCCUGAGGGAUAAUGCUUAGUCUAGUCCGCAAAUCAUUUAGUCCAAUAGAAGAGAUGUUGGUACCAUCUAUCAUAAUCUGACCAGCGGCAGGUUCAACAAUUCGAAAGAGGGUCUGUAUGAGGGUUGAUUUACCACUGCCAGUUCGCCCUACAAUGCCAGUCUUCAUUCCUCCCAGGAAAGUGCAUGUGAGACCUCUCAAUACAAGUGGCAUGUGUGGGGCAUAGCGGACCUACAUCCACACUCACCGUCAUCAAACAUAUGGAAAUUCCUCUGACCAGAGGAAGCCAUGAAUAACCCUCUAGCAUAUAUAUAAAUAGAAAUUACCUGCAAAUCCUGAAUAUCAACUUCUCCAUGUGAAGGCCAAGAACAUGCUAGCCUGUUUUCUUCUGUGACAAGAGGAGGCUCGCUUGGAAUGGAAGUGUAUUGAAGUAUUCUCUCAACUGAUAUAAUUUUAUUCUCCAUAUUGCAAAGAUUCCAUAUUACCCUAGCUUGUAUCAUGUUCAAAUUAAGUCCAUAUGUCAUUGCUAGGCCCGCAAUACCUUUAAUGGAAGUGGAAAAGAGUGUUAGUAAUUCUCCUAUGCCAUUUGCUAUUGAGAGUGACAUGGAUAAUCAGUGAAUAUACCAGAACAGAGAUACUUACCAGGAUCAAUUACUCCCUCUGGAACAGAGAUUAAGAAAACCAAAGAGAAGGCAAAUGUAACAGAAGAUAGCAUAUCCAAGCGGAAGCACAGCCAUUCCAUUGCACCAGCAAUGUUGAACUUGGGCCGUAAAUACCCAUCUACCAAUUUCAUGUUUGUAUCCCUGAAUCUAGAUUCUUGAUCAAAGCUUCUGAUGGUCAUAGAUCCUGCUAUAGUUUCAGAAAAAUGUUGAAUUACUGGAGCUUUGCAUACUCCAGCCAAUCUUGACAGUUCUCGUGCUGAAGGUAUGUAAUAUUGCUGCUUAAUUAUAAUGUUGUAAGAACCUUUUGCUCAUAUAUGAUAUAAAUCUAAGCUUUAAGGGGUAUUGAAAAAAAGGGGGAAAAAUGGUUUUGGAAAUGAUAAAAAAAUAGAAAUACAUUAGUUAAACAUUGCAUCUAAACAGCAAAACCUGCAGUUUAUCUUGCAGCCAAUUUCAUUACUCUUAUCUGAAAAGUGAAUUGGCACUCAAAAACCACCAUAUCAACACUAAAGAAACUUUCAUUCUGAGGCCAUAUUAAUUGGCAUGGCACAUUCAUAUUUGCACCUCCUUAAUAUGCAAUGCUUGUGACUGAGCCCCAGCUCAGCUGGAUCAGAAAGGAACAUGAACAUGCCAUGAAUUGUAAGAGUUAUCCUGAAUUAGGAUUCCAUUUUAAUGCAGUUGGUUUAAAACGAAUCAAAUUUCUCAGUAAGCAAUGCACUACUCCAAUUUUUUUUCUAAGCAACAUUUUGGAGUAAAGCUUAGUUUAUACCCAAAAUGGUUUUGAGCCUACUGGCAUUUUCAUGGACAUAUGAUUGAUAAUCUAAUGUGGAAGAGUACAUGGCAUAUGUAAGCAAAGAAAAUAAAUAAUGUAAUAUGAGAAACAUAAGGUGAUCUCAACUACAGAGCAUGAGAUGUCAUGUGACAAAGCCAUGUGUUGGCAUUAACUAACAAGAAGAGGUCCUAAUAAGUUCACAAUGGUUACCUGAUACCAGAUGCAGGUUGCAAUCACAGGAAUAAAGACAAUGAAAACCUGCCAUGCAACCUGUGACAUAACUGCAAUAAUUCCCAGGAGCUGAAUCAAUUGGAAGGCAAAUGCCCCAACUUGCAUUGGCAUGGUUGUAUCGAUCGUACUUUGGUCUGCAGAAGCCUGUAAAAAAGGGAAGGAUCAAUUAAGUGAUAUUCUAACACUAACUUUGGUAAAUGGGGAAAAAUGCAAGGCAGAAAUAGACAUAUAUUCAUAUUUUCACUUACUCUGUUUAGAAUUCGCCCACUUGGGGUGGCAUCAAAGAAUGACAUUGGGGCACGGAAGACGCACAAAUGCAUUUUAUUGAAGAGUAUAGUAGCUGUCUUGUAACCAGCUGUUACAAGAAGCAUGGCUCUGGAAAGGACGCAAAAAGAACUUCCAACAGCCAAAGCUACAUAAACAAUUAUGAGAGUAGAACCUCUAACUGCAGGUUUCACAUCAUCUGACACGGGACUUGCCCAAGCCAUCCAAUAAUUGCUUCCAAUCUGAAGCAGCUGAAAGAGAAUCUGUGACAACAAUAUAAAGGGCACAAGAGCUCCUCCAUAUGCUGUCCUGAUGUAUUUCCAAUAAACCCAUAGCCCAACUUUACCUUUCUCUCUCUC
rnacentral:lncRNA from 1 species